UCCUGCAGCCAUGUCCACGAACGAGAAUGCUAACUUACCAGCUGCCCAACUUAACAGGUUCAAGAACAAGGGGAAGGACAGUACAGAAAUGAGUCGCCUCUGAGCAGAAGUUAAUGUGAAACUCAGGAAAGCUAAAAAAGAUGAGCAGAUGCUGAAAAGGAGAAACGUCAGCUCCUUUCCUGAUGAUGAUACUUCUCUGCUACAGGAAAACUGGAACAACCAGGGGACUGUAAAUUGGUCUGUUGAGGACAUUGCUAAAGGCAUAAACAGUAACAAUUUGGAAAGCCAGCUCCAAGCUACUCAAGCUGCUCAGAAAUUGCUUUCUAGAGAGAAACAGCCUCCUAUAGACAACAUCAUCCGGGCUGGUUUGAUCCCAAAAUUUGUGUCCUUCUUAGGCAAAACUGAUUGUAGUCCUAUUCAGUUUGAAUCUGCUUGGUCACUCACCAACAUUGCUUCUGGAACAUCUGAACAGACCAAAGCUGUGGUGGAUGGAGGUGCUAUCCCAGCAUUUAUUUCUCUCUUGGCAUCUCCCUAUGCUCACAUCAGCAAGCAAGCUGUCUGGGCUCUUGGAAACAUUGCAGGUGAUGUUUCAGCUUUCCAAGACUUAGUUAUCAAACAUGGUGCAAUUGACCCACUGUUGACACUUCUUGCAGUUCCUGAUCUGUCAUCCUUGGCAUGUGGUUACUUAAGUAAUCUUACCUGGAUGCUUUCAAACCUUUGUCAAAACAAGAACCCUGCACUUCCCUUAGACGCUGUUGAGCAGAUUCUUCCUACUUUAGUUCGACUCCUGCACCACAAUGAUCCAGAAGAAUUAGCAGAUUCCUGCUGGGCCAUUUCCUACCUGAAUGAUGGUCCAAAUGAGCGCAUUGAGAUGGUUGUGAAGAAAGGAGUUGUUCCCCAACUUGUGAAGCUUCUAGGAGCUACUGAACUGCCCAUUGUGACUCCUGCACUAAGAGCCAUAGGUAAUAUUGUCACUGGAACAGAUAAACAGACUCAAAAAGUGAUAGAUGCAGGAGCACUUGCAGUCUUUCCCAGCCUGCUAACAAACCCCAAAACUAAUAUUCAGAAGGAGGCCACAUGGACAGUGUCGAACAUUACAGCUGGACGUCAGGACCAGAUACAGCAAGUUGUGAAUCACGGCCUAGUCCCCUUUCUUGUUGGUGUCCUCUCUAAGGCCGACUUUAAGACACAGAAGGAGGCCGAGUGGGCUAUAACCAACUAUACCAGCGGUGGGACUGUUGAACAGACUGUGUAUCUCAUUCAUUGUGGGAUAAUAGAACCUUUGAUGAACCUCCUGAGUGCAAAAGAUACCAAGAUUAUUGAGGUUAUUCUUGAUGUCAUUUCAAAUAUCUUUCAGGCUGCAGAGAAACUAGGUGAGACAGAAAAGCUCAGUAUAAUGAUUGAAGAGUGUGGAGGCUUGGAUAAAAUUGAAGCACUACAGAGCCAUGAAAACGAGUCUGUAUACAAGGCCUCAUUGAACUUAAUUGAGAAGGAGGAAGAGGAAGAUCAAAAUGUGGUGCCAGAAACUACCUCUGAAGGCUUCACCUUCCAAGUUCAGGAUGGAGCUCCCGGGACCUUUAACUUCUAA